UUUAAAGUCUGGCCUGCCCAAUGAGGAUUUGAAUGGCCGCGGUAUUUUGACCGUGCAAAGGUAGCAUAAUCAUUAGUUUUUUAAUUGAAAGCUUGUAUGAAUGGUCGGACGAGAAAAUAACUGUCUCAAUUUAAUUUUAAUUAGAAUUUUAUUUUUAAGUAAAAAAGCUUAAAUAAUUUUAAAAGACGAGAAGACCCUAUAGAGUUUUAUAUUUAUUAUUGUAUUUAUAAUUUAGAAUAUCUUUAAUUUAUAUAUUAAUAAGUAUUUUGUUGGGGUGACAGAAAAAUUUGAUUAACUUUUUUUUUAUAUUAACAUUGAUUUAUGAAUGUUUGAUCCGUAAUUUACGAUUAAAAGAUUAAAUUACCUUAGGGAUAACAGCGUAAUUUUUUUUGAGAGUUCAUAUCGAAAAAAGAGUUUGCGACCUCGAUGUUGGAUUAAAAUUAACUUUUGGUGCAGAAGCUAAAAGGUUAGGUCUGUUCGACCUUUAAAAUUUUACAUGAUCUGAGUUUAAACCGGUGUAAGCCAGGUUGGUUUCUAUCUUUAAAUAUAUUUAAUACUUUAGUACGAAAGGACCAAGUAUUGAUAAAAUUUAUUAGUUUUUGAAUAUUAUUA
rnacentral:rRNA from 1 species